UACGGGGGGGGGCAAGCGUUGUUCGGAAUUACUGGGCGUAAAGGGCUCGUAGGCGGCCAACUAAGUCGAACGUGAAAUCCCCGGGCUCAACCCGGGAACUGCAUCUGAUACUGGAUGGCUUGAGAUUGGGAGAGGGAUGCGGAAUUCCAGGUGUAGCGGUGAAAUGCGUAGAUAUCUGGAGGAACACCGGUGGCGAAGGCGGGCAUCCUGGACCAACACUGACGCUGAGGAGCGAAAAGCCAGGGGGAGCAAACGGG
rnacentral:rRNA from 1 species